CAUUCGCCGAGUAUUGCUCAGUGUACGCCGAGUCGUCACUGCGGCCAGGUUGGCACACGUGUUUGUGUUGCGGGUUAAUACGCACGCGCGUGGAAUACCAACAACCGAUUGGGGGGGAGAAAGAAAAAGAGAAGAAGAAUCCUUUCGGUAAAUAUCGUGGAGUGUAGUGAACACGUGUGCGUGCGCGUUUUGUCCCUGGUGAUCUAGAAAACGUGCGGAACGUCCGGCUGAAUCUUGAAAUGUUACAAAACUGAUUUAUCUCGGAGAAUACGUUAGACAUUUUUCAAAUUGUCGAUUUCUUCAAUCCUUGCACUUCCCAACGUUUCUUUAUGUACCACGUGACACCCUACGUACUUCAAAAUUCUUGACGAUACCAAAGAGCCAAAUCGUAGCAUGCCAAAUCAAAGAUGGAUCAUCACGAGUAUUCUUAUUUGCUUUUUCCUCGUUGGAAUGUUGAAAAGCGCUGUUGGAAAUCCCGUCAGGGACAGGUCAAAGGAGGAAGAGGAAAUGCCUAUGAGCAACUGGACGCAACUUGCAGACGAAUGGCUCGCCAAAGCAAGUGCCGCAAGAGGGUUGGACGUUACCGUUUUACCAUUUACUGAGACGCUCAGAGAUUUACCACCAACCGCGGAAACUAUCCGCAUUAAUGGUACUAACCUCGAUCAACUUUCACGGCACAAUUAUUCUAGAAUGUUGUGGGAGAUGGAGAACGCGCAACCAAAUGGACACUUGUCAGGAUUUGUGGAUAAAGCUUUAAAAUUACUGGAUCUAAAACAAGUGAUGAUGGAGGUGGAGACAUCGGUGAUGUCGAAAGUGUCUUGUUCAGCGUGCAAAGUUGGCGCGGGUCUUCUUCUACAUUACAUAAAGGUUGGCAAAAACGAUGAAGAAAUUAUGAACAGCAUUUACCAAUUUUGUACAUCUCUUAAUAUUCAAAGCCCUCGAGUUUGUCACGGAGUUACAUUGCUCUUUGGGGGCGAAGUCAUUUACGUGUUGAAACAAGUAAAUAUGGGACCAUCGCAAAUCUGCAGCUUUGUUAUCGGCGACGCAUGCGACGACGCGUAUAAUCCUCUGCACGAGUGGGAAGUUGCAUUCCCGCCAGUGAAUAAACCACCUGUGAAACCACCCGUGCCGCCUCAAGAAGGUGCGCCUACCUUCAAGGUUCUUCAUAUCUCUGAUACGCACUACGAUCCUUACUACCAAGAGGGUGCGAACGCAGAUUGUAAUGAACCCUUGUGCUGCAGAUUAACCAAUGGGGCACCCCAGACACCAGCCGCACGUGCUGGACGAUGGGGUGACUACCGAAAAUGUGACACGCCAAAAAGAACGGUUGAACAUAUGCUUAAGCACAUCGUGGAUACGCAUUCUGAUAUCGACUACAUUUUGUGGACAGGAGAUUUACCACCUCAUGACGUGUGGAAUCAAACGCGAGAGGAAAAUCUGAAAGUUUUGCAUGAAACGGUGACACAGCUCAUUGAGAUGUUUCCCGGAAUACCGAUCUUUCCUGCUCUUGGAAAUCAUGAAAGUGCUCCUGUUAAUAGUUUUCCACCACCAUUUGUGCCAAAAGAAAACGACAUAUCGUGGUUGUACGACUCGCUCGAUAAACACUGGAGACAUUGGUUACCAGCAGGUGUUUCACACACUGUUCGCCGUGGCGCUUUUUAUUCGGUUUUAGUGCGUCCAGGAUUCAGAAUCCUUUCUGUCAAUAUGAAUUACUGCAAUAACAAAAACUGGUGGCUGCUAAUAAAUAGUACGGAUCCAGUGAGCGAACUGCAAUGGCUAGUUUAUGAGUUGCAAGGAGCUGAAAUGAAUGGCGAGAAAGUUCACAUCAUUGGGCAUAUUCCACCUGGUCAUUCGGACUGUUUGAAAGUGUGGUCUAGGAACUAUUAUCAAAUCAUUAACAGGUACGAAUCUACAAUCACGGCACAAUUUUUUGGACAUACCCACUACGAUGAAUUCCAAUUAUUUUACGAUAUUGCUGAUCUUGGAAGAGCUGUUAGCAUAGCUUACGUCGGACCAUCGGUUACACCUUAUUAUGAACUCAAUCCAGGAUACAGAAUAUACUACGUCGAUGGUGAUCAUCCAAAAACCACGAGGAUGGUCGUAGAUCACGAAAGCUGGGUAAUGAAUCUAAAAGAAGCGAAUCUUUACGAUUAUCCUAUUUGGCACAAAAUGUACAGUGCCCGACAAGCGUAUCAAAUGCCAUCGCUUUUACCACGGGACUGGGAUACCCUGAUAGAUAAGAUGAGCAAUGAACCUUCGCUUUUCGAUCUGUAUUAUAAACAUUAUUAUAAGAAUUCUCCCGUAAGACCGCAAUGUAACGAUGAAUGUCGAAAAAGAUUACUUUGUGAUUUGCGAAGUGGAAGAAGUCACGAUCGCAAAGCUCUGUGUCAAAGUCUCGAAUCUAGAAUAGAUAACGAAACAAGGACAGGUUGGCGAGCUUGGAUUUACAAUGGACUCGCUUUCUCUUUAUUGACCAUUAUUAAGGUCAAAAAGCUAUUUCAUGCGAUAUACACAUUUAUUAGCAAAUGGCACCUAGUAAUUAAAUAACAGACAGUACCUUCUGGUGAUGGAACACAUAUAAUGGUGGUUGAAAUUUCCAACACUAAUCUACAUUGCUUAUAGUAUUGUCUGUUUUCAUGGCAAUUCCUCGAUUUGCAUAUAAUUUACCUAAGUAUGUAUUAGGCCUGGGAUAAAUGAAGAUAACAUUAAAUGGAAAACUGAUGUGAUUUUGUUAUUAAAUUAUUAAAUAUUUACAAUGGUGACAUUGUUAUUUUGAAAGCUGUAAUAUGCAUUAUUACACGCAAAAGUAUGAUGGAAUUGUCAGAUGCAGAUACAUAUAUUCGUGAGAUCCGUGUUAUGUUAUAGUUAAAAGAAUUUAUUUAACUAGCAAUAGAGAGAUUAUAUAGCGUAAAGUUUCACUUUCAAACAUGAAUUAUUUUUCCUUUGAAUGUGAUAAACAUACACAUCGAAUGUGUGUUACUGUCGUAUCAAAAAUACUAUAAAAAUACUUAAUAGAAUGUACAAAAAUGACAGACAGAGAAGCAUGUUAUCAUUUUAAAUUCCAUGUUUAGUUUAUAUCAAUUCUAUACAAGUUGAAAUCGUAACUACCCUAUGAUCUCAACAUAGAGAAUACAUUUUUGAAAAAAAAAUAUAGAGUGAAUUUACAUAAAAGUAAUUGCAUUUAUAAGUUUGUUACAUGCAAUACAAUUAAAAGAUCAGGCAAAUGCAACUAGUUUGAAUAAUAAGAUACACAAUCAAUCAGAUAUAAAAUCAAAUCUAGGUAAAAUCGACAAACACUGUUGAUUAGUUUUAGAAAUAUUUUGUACAUAAUCGUAUUUGUAUUGUAUAGUUACUCUUGAAUUCGUUGUCACAAACAUAAUUAUUAUAAACGUAUUAACAUUUUUAUGAAUGGAAAUACAAAAAUUGUACUUACAAUUAGCGAUUAUUACAUUUAACUUCAUUAGCAUAAUUGAUGUUUCACAUAUAGGAUUUAAUUGUAAAAUUGAAUAAAAAUUUUUUUACAAUUUACAUGCUCUUGUAAGAAAUGGAUAUUCAACGAUGAACGAUACAAGUUUUAGUGUCAACGAGAGAGCUCGAAGGAAAUUGAGGAAGCUUUUGGAAUCUAGGUGAAGAAAGCUAGGUUAAUUCGGAAUAAGGGAUUAUCAUCUGAAAAAAAUACACUACAAUGAUCAAAAAAGCAACAAAAGUAACAUAAAUGCAUAAAAAUCCGCGGUCUAUUCGUUAAAGUUUGUUUGUGCUUUCUUUAUCUCAUAUUUCCUUUACGUUUCUCAAUUUGGUUAUUUUAAGUGGAAUAUUUGAGAACAGUGCGUUUAGUUUUAAAUGUAAUUUUUAUUUAGGCUAUGUACAACACAUACGUACAAUACGUGACCCUUGCUUAAAACUAUAUUACGCUCGCCCGGUAUGCAUUUCCACUUUUAAUCUUUUCUCUUUGACAUACUUGUUAGUGUGUGUGAAUGUGUGCUCUCAUGCAUGCGUCGUCGUAAUAGACACACAUAUAUGUUGUGUUUCUUUCUGUAUGUAUGCAAGUGCAAAUGUGUUCGUAUAUUCGUGUGAUAUGUUACAAAUUUUUAGGAACAUUUCGCGUGGAACACCGCGAGCGAUAUUAGUAAUAA